CAAUAGUUAGGCCAAUCAGAGAUAUUUGUAGAACAAAUAUAUUCCAGAUAGAAUUUCUCGAACUGAUGGAAGCAUUUAUUUUAUUCGAGGUGUCUAGAAAAGUAAUAAAGUAAAAGGAAUUCAAACAGCAGUAGCUGAAGUCUAUUACGCAAUUCAGGUUUUUUGGAAGACUACUACGUUGCCACUCCUUGCCUGAUUGCAAUGUACAACUAUCAGGGUUGCUCGUUAUCCAAACAUUCAUAAUACUCCUUAAGCGAACACAGGGACUGCGCAUUUAAUAUUGGUCGUUUACGCUUUGUGUCGUCUUGAUCUAGGUGCCAAGGAGUACAGCAAAAUGUGGCGAUAACCUGCGACUUUAAACUAUUAAAUAAAUUAUAAUUGAUGGAAUGAAGGAUA